AGAUAAAGCAUAUGAUGGCUUUCAUUGAACAAGAAGCCAAUGAGAAAGCAGAAGAAAUAGAUGCAAAGGCAGAAGAAGAGUUCAACAUAGAGAAAGGUCGGCUUGUGCAAACCCAAAGACUAAAGAUUAUGGAAUAUUAUGAGAAGAAAGAGAAACAGAUUGAGCAGCAGAAGAAAAUUCAGAUGUCCAAUUUGAUGAAUCAAGCGAGACUCAAAGUCCUCAGAGCGAGAGAUGACCUUAUCACAGACCUACUAAAUGAAGCAAAACAGAGACUCAGCAAGGUGGUAAAAGAUACAACCAGGUACCAAGUACUGCUGGAUGGACUGGUUCUCCAGGUACCCUCAUAGACCAGAUCUACUGUUGAUAGCCACAGUUCUGAGAAAAUUUAGAAUGCCUAUUAGAUACCAGCUCUAUUUUUUCCUGCUUUCUCAUCAUAGUUUUUUUCCUUUCACCCUUUUUUUUUUCUUUUAGCUUUUUUACUUUCACUCUUGACCAUAUCUAAAAUGUGUGCUGCAUAGGAAAAUAGUAAAUCUGUCUGGUUGGAUAAGACUUCCAGGCCUACUACUCAAUUAUGUAGUCUUACAUGACUUAAGAGUCAAAUUUGCUUACAAUGGCUAGCUUUAAAUUCCCUUAAUUUGAUUUUGCCACUAAAAUACUUGCUUUAGAUUUAGGAUUCAGACCAAACACUGUAUAUGUUUUAAUUGUUUACUGCUGAGCUGUGAAUCCUUAUUUUACUUAUGUUAAU
rnacentral:sRNA from 1 species